UACGUAGGGGGCAAGCGUUGUCCGGAUUUAUUGGGCGUAAAGAGCGUGUAGGCGGCCUGACAGAUCUGCUGUGAAAACUCGAGGCUCAACCUCGAGAUGUCGGCGGAAACCGUCUGGCUAGAGUCCGGAAGAGGAGAGUGGAAUUCCUGGUGUAGCGGUGGAAUGCGCAGAUAUCAGGAGGAACACCAAUAGCGAAGGCAGCUCGCUGGGACGGUACUGACGCUAAGGCGCGAAAGCGUGGGGAGCGAACAGG
rnacentral:rRNA from 1 species